rnacentral:rRNA from 1 species
GGGAGAUUUAUCGUCAGCGGCGCUGGCUUCGCGUCGGUCGGCGAUGUCCCGCGGAGUCCUCGUGGCUCGCGCGCGGGCACGCUACCGUGCGCUCGAUGUCCGGCGCUCGUCGUCGUGCACUUCUCCCCAAGUAGAACGUCGCGACCCGCUGGGUGUCGGUCUACGGCCCGGGUGAGGUGACUGUCGCGUCGCCGGUAAAACGGCACGCGACAAACCCUCGGUCGCCCGGCCGGCUGCUCGGCGGUACGCGCAAGGUAUCAGGCCGCACGCUUAUUCAGCGGUGCGUCGAGGCCGUCGCAAGCGCGCGCCACGGUACUCGGAGGUUACGGACUUCGCGCCGUCCCCGGUCCUGGCCCGCUGUUGGUUACAGUACGGUUCACCUUCGACAGGCCUAUGAACGUCUUCCGCGUGUUAACACGCGGGGGACCGAUACCGGUCGGCGACGCUACUGCUUUGGG